AUGAAUUAACUUCAAACUUGAUCAAGUCACUUUCUUGUUUCAAAUAACUUUUGUUUGCAUUUUUUGGGGUUUCAACUGUUGAACAGCGAAUAUGGCCAGCUUCCUUGCAACCCCUACAUGUCCACUGGUGGCCCUGCCCACCACUACUAGGGCCACCUUCACUGCUAUUCAGCAAAAGAGCUUCUCUGUUAAUGCUAGGGACACUUCCCUUUUCUAAUUAUGUUAUGAAAGGUAUGGUAAUUUUUUUUUUAUUAAUAAAUAACUGAUGCAAAUAUUAAUCAUAAUGCAGGGAGGUUCUCUAUUUUUCGGUUCAAAACAUGUCCAGAAAAUCCAAUUCUCAAACGCAGCUAGCAUUUCCUCUGCCAGGUCUAGAUUCUUCAAGACCGCAAUUUCAUGCUCCGCUCUACCUGAAACCCUGGAAACCGUCCAAAACACCAUUGCUAAGCAAUUGUCUGUUGAUGUGAGCACAGUGACUCCUGAAAUCAAGUUUGCUGAUUGGGUGCUGACUCCCUUGACACGGUGGAGAUAAUGAUGGCUUUGGAAGAACAAUUUGGCGAAGGUGGAAAGGAGAACAUUACAACUGUUCAAGAUGCUGCAGAUCUCAUUGAGAAAGUGAAGGCAGCAGAAUGAAGAGCAUCACUUCCCGGCGUCAAGAUUAUGGAAAUUUCCUUGACUUGGUUAUCUCAUAAGUGGCACCGGGGAAAUGUUUUGCAGGGAUCAAUUUUUGUCAGGGCGUCUAAAAUUAUAAUUUUUUCUUUCCUUUGAACACAAAAUAGAAAAUCUAAUGCGUGCAUAAUAGAAUUGAACUUCGUUUAUCAUUGAAA